UACAGAGGUCCCAAGCGUUGUUCGGAACCACUGGGCGUAAAGGGUGCGUAGGUGGUGAGGUAAGUCGGAUGUGAAAGCUCGGAGCUCAACUCCGAAAUGGCAUUGGAAACUACCUUGCUCGAGGGUUGGAGGGGGGACUGGAAUACUUGGUGUAGCAGUGAAAUGCGUAGAUAUCAAGUGGAACACCAGUGGCGAAGGCGAGUCCCUGGACAACUCCUGACACUGAGGCACGAAAGCUAGGGGAGCAAACAGG
rnacentral:rRNA from 1 species